AUUGAACGCUGGCGGAAUGCUUUACACAUGCAAGUCGAACGGCAGCACGGGGGCAACCCUGGUGGCGAGUGGCGAACGGGUGAGUAAUACAUCGGAACGUGCCCGGUCGUGGGGGAUAACGUAGCGAAAGUUACGCUAAUACCGCAUACGAUCUGAGGAUGAAAGCGGGGGACCUUCGGGCCUCGCGCGUUCGGAGCGGCCUAUGUCAGAUUAGGUAGUUGGUGGGGUAAAGGCCUACCAAGCCGACGAUCUGUAGCUGGUCUGAGAGGACGACCAGCCACACUGGGACUGAGACACGGCCCAGACUCCUACGGGAGGCAGCAGUGGGGAAUCUUGGACAAUGGGGGAAAGCCUGAUCCAGCCAAUCCGCGUGCAGGACGAAGGCCUUCGGGUUGUAAACUGCUUUUGUAUGGAACGAAAAGGCUCUGGCUAAUACCUGGGGCUCAUGACGGUACCGUAAGAAUAAGCACCGGCUAACUACGUG
rnacentral:rRNA from 1 species